AAAAAGAUAAAAAAUAAAAAUAAAAAAUAGUCAAAAGGUAAAAAAGAAUACAAAUAAAAGAAACUAAAGAAUAAGUAGUAGCUGUUCAGUAAAAAAGUACGAGAAUAAUAAUAUAAGAAAUAAAAAAAUAAGAGAAAAGCUAUACAAAUAAUAAAUUAUAUUUAUAGCAACAGUAAAAAUUGAGAAUUAAAAUAUCAUAUGCCUCAUAGUUGGAGCCAAAAAUUACGACUAAUAAAAGUUUGGAGAUUAAAACAUUACUUACCUCAUAGUUUAAACAAAAAAAUAUAACGCAUUAAAAUUCGAGAAUCAUAGUGUUACGGGUCUUAUAAUUUGAAGAUGAAAUGUGUUAUUAUUUCAAAUGAAGACAAAGUUGAGUAUCGAUUAAUUUUGUUCAAUUAAUAGUUUCAUUCGUGAAAAGAAUAUAUUAAAUUAUCUAAUAUUUAAAAUGUCGAAGUGUGAAAAUUAAAAAUUGACUAAUUAUAUUUUCGAUAUUUUAAAAAAUUUUAAAUAUGAAAUUAAUCGCUCAUCAGACUAUUAAUAUGAUAUUGAAAACUGAUAUUAAAAUCAAAAUAAAAUCAUAUAGAACUUUCUGAACUAUGAAGCAUGUUAAAUCAUCUAUCCAACAUUUCAAAAUUUUAUUUUUGCUAUCCCACUAUUACAUAUGUUAGAUUUGAUCCAGUCAGCAAUACUUUGACUUUAAAAUUUGAACGCAUCGUUUAGCUUACAGAUUUACUUUGUGUAUUUUAUAUAAUAUUUCCGUAACUAAAUUUUUUAAAAUAAAUAAUUAACUUAAAACUCCAAUCUAUCUUGUAUUUUUUUUUGCAAAAUAUAUAUCUAAGUGAUCAAUAUUAUAAAAUUAAAAUUAAUAUCUAACAUAUAAA
rnacentral:lncRNA from 1 species